UACGGGGGGUGCGAGCGUUGUCCGGAAUCACUGGGCGUAAAGGGCGCGUAGGUGGCGUGAUAAGGGUGUGGUGAAAGCCCGGGGCUCAACCCCGGGUCGGCCAUGCCGACUGUCAGGCUCGAGUGCUGUAGAGGCAGGCGGAAUUCCGGGUGUAGCGGUGGAAUGCGUAGAGAUCCGGAGGAAGACCGGUGGUGAAGGCGGCCUGCUGGGCAGUUACUGACACUGAGGCGCGACAGCGUGGGGAGCAAACAGG
rnacentral:rRNA from 1 species